AUUUUGAGAUGGAAACAUUUAUAACGCCACCAUGUCGUUUACUUAGCUUAGCUCGUUUACUUACGCUUAACGUUAGUGUAAUUCGAAAAUAACUGGGAGUCAAGACCAUGCCGAAGGGAACGAUUUUAACGGAGAAGGAGCGUGGUAAAAUCGAUGUUUUGAAGGAGGAAGGAUUUUCUCUCCGCGAGAUAGCGCGUAGAAUUGGAAGGAGCAGAGAUGCCGUGACAAACUAUAUCCCGUUGGGUGCUCAGUGCGCCACAAAGAAGCGUCCCGGAGCGUCCUCGCUUAACAGAUAGGGACAAACGACAUAUCAAGCGCCUCGCUGUUUAGUCUAAACUUUCAUCAGCAAAAAUAAAAGCUGAAAUGAAUAUUCCAGAAACCAGUCGUCACAUCCGUCAAGUUCUAAGCUCCGACGAGAACCUUUCGUACAGGAAAUCCGUACCUGUACCGCGACUACUUCCUCGGCAUAAGAAGGCACGACUGAAUUUUGUCGAGAAAUUCCAAUUCUGCCAUGAUGAAAAAGUUUAAUUUGAACGGUCCUGACGGUUCUGCUGACUGUUGGCGAGAUAAACGGAAGAAAAAACCAACAAGAGAAUCUCGCAACUUCGGAGGAGGAACCGUAAUGGUUUGGGCAGGCAUCAGUGACGCUAGGAAAACUCCAAUCUGCUUCAUAUCAACAAGAAUGAAUUCCGAGAAGUACUGCGAAUUGCUGGAGGAGGUUUUGAUUCCUUUUAUGGAAGACGUUAUGGACGAAAAUGCUAUUUUUCAGCAAGAUAACGCUUCAUGUCAUGCAGCAAGUAACACCAAAGACUUUCUAACGGCCCAUAACAAACCUGUUCUUGAUUGGCCACCGUGUAGUCCAGACUUAAAUCCAUUGAGAAUGCUUGGAGAAUUUUGUCAGCAAAUGUAUUUGCACAGGGCAAGAAAUUUGAAACUGCUGAACAGCUGAUAAAAACUAUCAUCAACUAGUGGGCUAAAAUUACUCCAAACACGGUAAAAUCCCUCAUUCAGUCUAUGCCAAGGAGGCUGCAAAAGGUUAUUGUGAAGAAAGGCGAAGCAACACACUACUAAUUACAUUUGUUUCGAUUUUAGACUGGAAAUAAAGUGAGUAAAUACAUA